rnacentral:rRNA from 1 species
AUGAAAAAAGACAAGUACGGUUACAUCUACUUCUCACAUCUAAUACACAAAGGAGAAAAGAUUGAGCGUGAGCCUUUUAUUUUCCCUAACCAGGCGAAUCAAGUGUUCUAUGUGGAAGAUGAAUUGAAUCCAGGUUGGUCUGUGGUAAUGAAGUUGCCAAAGCCUAGAGAUGUAUAUGACUUAGGCAACUUGGAAUGGGAAGCGCAGAUAGAAAAUGAGCCAUUCCAUGUUUCACAGCUCGGAGAGAUUUUGAAGAGAAAGAACAAUGAACAACAUUGGGUUAGAACAGACGUUGAGGGGACAAUAGUGGAUGCUAAUAAUGCUUCCAGCAACGAAGAAUAG